GCCGACGGUGCCCUGGAAACAGGGUGAAAAGGGAAUGCGGUGUGAAACCGCGGCUGCCCCCGCAACUGUAAGCGGAGAGUCCUUUCUUGGUGAGCCACUGGGUUGUCCCGGGAAGGCAUGAGCAAGGACAUCGACCCGUGAGCCAGGAGACCUGCCGUCGCCU
rnacentral:ncRNA from 1 species